rnacentral:rRNA from 1 species
UACGGAGGGUCCGAGCGUUAUCCGGAUUCAUUGGGUUUAAAGGGUGCGUAGGCGGACUGGUAAGUCAGCUGUGAAAGUUUACGGCUCAACCGUGAAAUUGCAGUUGAUACUGUUGGUCUUGAGUAUAGAUGAGGUGGGCGGAAUUUGUGGUGUAGCGGUGAAAUGCUUAGAUAUGACAAAGAACUCCGAUUGCGAAGGCAGCUCACUGGGGUAUAACUGACGCUGAUGCACGAAAGCGUGGGGAUCAAACAGG